rnacentral:misc_RNA from 1 species
GAAAACACCUUAUUUGUCAUCCUUAAACACAAUUAGCAAAUGUUCUGCCACUUUGGGGACAAAAGGUUGGUACAACUCCUAGUAGGUCUGGCCAUUUCAACCAACACGAAAGAUGGUAAAAUUCAUAGUGCCAAAAGCAAAAUUUUCAGAAGAUAAAAAAGGUGCAUUAUACGAUCAAAUCCACUGCACAAUGAUUAGGAUCCAUGCCUGCUCGUUCAUAUUACAAGUAUGUUCUCAUCACAUUCGGAUACUUUUGUUAAAAGUCGGAGCUCCACUUUCCAAGGGAUCCUUAAAAGCAAAACUUCUUUUUCUGAAAUUUUGCAGCUUCCUGACCAUCAAUGUAUGCAAGAAGUUCCUCUUGUCUCAUCAAAGCCUCGUGCAAAGCCUUCUUGGUUGCAAUUAACUCAGCUUCCAGGGCAUCCACACGGCAAACAGCAGCAUUUAGCAGUUCCUCUUUCUCAUAAGGCAUCUCAGAUGGCUUU